rnacentral:tRNA from 1 species
GUGAACGGAGCUCGAAUGGAUGAGCACCCGGUUGUGGUCCGGGAAGGUGUGGGUUCGAAUCCCAUCGUUCACCCCA